CACGUAGGGUGCGAGCGUUGUCCGGAAUUAUUGGGCGUAAAGAGCUCGUCGGCGGUGUGUCGCGUCGGCCGUGAAAACCUGCAGCUUAACUGUGGGCGUGCGGUCGAUACGGGCAUCACUGGAGUUCGGCAGGGGAGACUGGAAUUCCUGGUGUAGCGGUGAAAUGCGCAGAUAUCAGGAGGAACACCGGUGGCGAAGGCGGGUCUCUGGGCCGAUACUGACGCUGAGGAGCGAAAGCGUGGGGAGCGAACAGG
rnacentral:rRNA from 1 species